ACCCGCUGAACUUAAGCAUAUCAAUAAGCGGAGGAAAAGAAACCAACAGGGAUUGCCUCAGUAACGGCGAGUGAAGCGGCAACAGCUCAAAUUUGAAAUCUGGCCUUUACGGUCCGAGUUGUAAUUUGUAGAGGAUGUUUUGGGUACCGCCGCGGUUUAAAUUUCUUGGAACAGAAUGUCAGAGAGGGUGAGAGUCCCGUCUUGGAUCGCGGUAGGGCCUGUGUAAAACUCCUUCGACGAGUCGACUUGUUUGGGAAUGCAGGUCAAAAUGGGUGGUAAAUUUCAUCUAAAGCUAAAUAUUGGCCAGAGACCGAUAGCGCACAAGUAGAGUGAUCGAAAGAUGAAAAGCACUUUGAAAAGAGAGUUAAACAGUAUGUGAAAUUGUUGAAAGGGAAGCGCUGGCAACCAGACUCGUGCGCGGGGUUCCCCCUUGCUUCUGCUUGGGUUAUUUCCCCGUGUCCGGGCCAUCAUCAGUUUUGGGGGCCGGUUAAAGGUCUUGGGAAUGUAUCUACUCCUUCGGGGGUAGACUUAUAGCCCAGGGCGUCAUGCGGCCACCCGGGACUGAGGAACGCGCUUCGGCGAGGAUGAUGGCGUAAUGGUUGU
rnacentral:rRNA from 1 species